GGGAUUUAAUAAUUUAAAAGGCGCCUUGAUCGCUCCUCGUAUCUUGAUUAGGUUACUGAUUAUCGUUCUUGCCUAAAUCGUCUCCCUUAUUCGAAACGUCGCGCGAAGCAGAGCGAGUACGCAAACUUAUUCAGUUAUUGGUUUCAGUUUUUCCCCACUUCUCUUGUGGUAGCUACAUCGUCAGCUUGAAAGUUCAUUGUGCAACCUACAUAUGGCAUGCAAACGUUUGCAAAGAGUAGAUAUCAGAAAUGAUCUUCGAGAUCGACUUCUUUCUCAAGACAUAAAAUCCUGUGGGGAUGUGUUAUGCAUGUCAUCACUGGAGCUAAUGAAGGUGACUGGAUGCUGUGGAUUAACAGUUAAAGAGAUUAUCCAAAAAUGCAGCACUUCAGCUGCGCCAGCACCAGUUAUUGCCCUUGACAUGUUAAAAAGGAGAAAACAAGUAAAAGGAUUUUUAUCAACUUCCUUUCCAGACCUUGACCAUGUACUUCAUGGAGGAUUUCCAUCUGGAACCAUCACUGAGAUUGCAGGACCUUCAGGAUGUGGUAAAACACAAUUUUGUUUGACACUUGCUGUGCUUGCCACGUUGCCAGUCAGCAAUGGCGGCUGUGGAGGAACUGUUUUGUUUAUUGACACAGAAGGAGCCUUUAGUGCAGAGAGGCUUGUGGAAAUUGCACGGUGUCGUUUGCCUGAACUCUUUAAGGAUGAUGACAGCUUACACCAGCUGGUCAGUAAUGUCUACAUAGACCUGAUCCAGACUUGUAAAAACCUUAUGAACAGGCUGAAAAAUCUGGAAGAGGACUUGAUCAGCAAGAAUGUGCGGCUGCUAAUUGUAGAUUCUGUGGCAUCACUUGUCCGUAAAGAAUUUGGCUCACUUCAGGAUGGCAUGAUGCGACGUACAGACUUUCUAACUGCAGAAGCAGGACUGCUCAAACACAUAGCUGAGACUUUCUCAAUACCAGUAGUCGUGACGAACCAGAUCACAACCCGUUUCGGAAUUACGCAUGCUCAAUCUUCAGACAGCAGCAGUUACGAUAAAUUGGAGUCAGGCGACGGUAAGAAGACGCUAGGCAGCUCUGUGGAGAUGGACGGGGAGGAUACCUACAUGACUGCAGCGCUAGGGAAUACCUGGAGUCACUGCGUCAACACCCGACUUAUCUUGCAGUUCCUACCCGAGCGGAGAAGACAGAUGUUAGUCGCGAAAUCGCCUGUUGCACCUUUCACCUGUUUUGACAUCAUCAUCAAAGAUGAAGGUGUUCUUCAAGACGUGCAAGGCCAAGGCCACUACGUGGGCACAGACCCCAGCAAGCAAGAAAUCAAGUGUCGAAGAGGAAUAGCUGUACAGACAUCUCAGUGGUGAUCGAGCUGUGAAUGGAGAACUGGCCCCAAGAGGAGUAUGCAGUUCCUAAUUUGAAACCCAAAAGUGUUGUGCCGUGCUGACACCGGGUCAGGUGUGGCGGUCCACCCAUGUCAGCCACAGGUAAAGGCGACUGAGGGCAACAACAGAGAUUUGAUUGCGGAGAACGUGACACAAACACAUCACUGAAAGCCUCCAG
rnacentral:misc_RNA from 1 species